UACGUAGGCAGCAAGCGUUGUUCGGAGUUACUGGGCGUAAAGGGUGCGUAGGCGGUCCUAUAAGUAUGGUGUGAAAUCUCCCGGCUUAACUGGGAGGGUGCGCUAUAGACUGUGGGACUAGAGUGCGGUAGGGGAGACUGGAAUUCCUGGUGUAGCGGUGAAAUGCGCAGAUAUCAGGAGGAACACCAAUAGCGAAGGCAGCUCGCUGGGACGGUACUGACGCUGAGGCGCGAAAGCGUGGGGAGCGAACAGG
rnacentral:rRNA from 1 species